CAGCAGCCGCGGUAAUACGAAGGGGGCUAGCGUUGCUCGGAAUCACUGGGCGUAAAGGGUGCGUAGGCGGGUCUUUAAGUCAGAGGUGAAAGCCUGGAGCUCAACUCCAGAACUGCCUUUGAUACUGGAGAUCUCGAGUUCGGGAGAGGUGAGUGGAACUGCGAGUGUAGAGGUGAAAUUCGUAGAUAUUCGCAAGAACACCAGUGGCGAAGGCGGCUCACUGGCCCGAUACUGACGCUGAGGCACGAAAGCGUGGGGAGCAAACAGGAUUAGAUACCCCCGUAGUCCCUGUCUCUUAUAC
rnacentral:rRNA from 1 species